CGGAUGCAGGUGCCCCACGUUUUUGGGUGGGGUGAAAAGGGAACCCGGUGAGAAUCCGGGGCGAUGCCGUCACUGUGUCAGGCCGCUGCUGUGCAUACCAAUGGGAAACCGUGAAGGGUACAGCGGCAAUGGCCGAAGUCAGGAGACCUGCCUGCAUUC
rnacentral:ncRNA from 1 species